rnacentral:rRNA from 1 species
GACGAACGCUGGCGGCAUGCCUAAUACAUGCAAGUCGAGCGGACUUGAUGAGAAGCUUGCUUCUCAGAUAGUUAGCGGCGGACGGGUGAGUAACACGUAGGCAACCUGCCCUCAAGCUUGGGACAACUGCCGGAAACGGUAGCUAAUACCGAAUACUUGUUUUCUUCGCCUGAAGGAAACUGGAAAGACGGAGUAAUCUGUCACUUGGGGAUGGGCCUGCGGCGCAUUAGCUAGUUGGUGAGGUAACGGCUCACCAAGGCGACGAUGCGUAGCCGACCUGAGAGGGUGAUCGGCCACACUGGGACUGAGACACGGCCCAGACUCCUACGGGCGGCAGCAGUAGGGAAUCUUCCGCAAUGGGCGAAAGCCUGACGGAGCAAUGCCGCGUGAGUGAUGAAGGUUUUCGGAUCGUAAAGCUCUGUUGCCAGGGAAGAACGCUUGGGAGAGUAACUGCUCCCAAGGUGACGGUACCUGAGAAGAAAGCCCCGGCUAACUACGUGCCAGCAGCCGCCGUAA